CCUACGGGGGGCAGCAGUGGGGAAUAUUGGACAAUGGGCGAAAGCCUGAUCCAGCCAUGCCGCGUGUGUGAAGAAGGCCUUCGGGUUGUAAAGCACUUUCAGUGGGGAAGAAAGCCUUGGGGCUAAUACCCUCGAGGAAGGACAUCACCCACAGAAGAAGCACCGGCUAACUCCGUGCCAGCAGCCGCAGUAAUACGGAGGGUGCGAGCGUUAAUCGGAAUUACUGGGCGUAAAGCGCGCGUAGGCGGUCUGAUAAGCCGGUUGUGAAAGCCCCGGGCUUAACCUGGGAACGGCAUCCGGAACUGUCAGGCUAGAGUGCAGGAGAGGAAGGUAGAAUUCCCGGUGUAGCGGUGAAAUGCGUAGAGAUCGGGAGGAAUACCAGUGGCGAAGGCGGCCUUCUGGACUGACACUGACGCUGAGGUGCGAAAGCGUGGGUAGCAAACAGGAUUAGAUACCCUGGUAGUC
rnacentral:rRNA from 1 species